rnacentral:rRNA from 1 species
CCCCACUGCUAUCGGGGUGGGACUAAAACAUGCAAGUCGAGCGCCUCCAAGCUAUGGUGAAGGCGCGGCAAACGGCUCAGUAACACGUGGCCAACCUACCCUUGGGACGGAGACAACCCCGGGAAACUGGGGCUAAUCCCCGAUAAGUAAGGAAUCCUGGAAUGGAUCUUUGCUGAAAGGGCGUCUGGACCAUGCUUCUUGACGUCGCCCAAGGAUGGAGCCGCGACCGAUCAGGUAGUUGGCGAGGCAACGGCUCACCAAGCCUAUAACCGGUACGGGCCGUGAGAGCGGGAGCCCGGAGAUGGGCACUGAGACAAGGGCCCAGGCCCUACGGGGCGCAGCAGUUGCGAAAACUCCGCAAUGCGCGAAAGCGUGACGGGGCUACCCCGAGUGCCGCCCGUUGAGGGCGGCUUUUCCACGGUGUAAGGAGCCGUGGGAAUAAGGAGAGGGCAAGACUGGUGUCAGCCGCCGCGGUAAUACCAGCUCUCCGAGUGGUGGGGACGAUUAUUGGGCUUAAAGCGUUCGUAGCCGGCUUAACAAGUCUUCCGUUAAAUCCAACGAUCUAAUCGUUGGGCUGCGGGAGAUACUGUUGGGCUAGGAGGCGGGAGGAGCCGACGGUAUUCUCGGGGUAGGGGUGAAAUCCUGUAAUCCCGGGAGGACCACCAGUGGCGAAGGCGGUCGGCUAGAACGCGCUCGACGGUGAGGGACGAAAGCUGGGGGAGCGAACCGGAUUAGAAACCCGGGUAGUCCCAGCUGUAAACGAUGCGGGCUAGGUGUUGGGGUGGCCACGAGCCACUUCAGUGCCGCAUGGAAGCAAUUAAGCCCGCCGCCUGGGGAGUACGGCCGCAAGGCUGAAACUUAAAGGAAUUGGCGGGGGAGCACCACAAGGCGUGAAGCUUGCGGUUU